UCAUUUUUACUUUUUUAACAAUUGAUGAAUUUUCUGGACUAUUGGGGCUGAAUCAGUUGUUCACUGUGCUAAUACUCAUUUUUAUUUGAUAAUUUAUCAGCCACAUGAAAACUAAUCUAUUUGUUAAAUUUAUUUUUUCCUUGAUAAUUAAAAGAAGUUCACUUAUAUCUUUAACUCUAUUUCAAAAUGAAGCUUAGGUGAUUUUUUGAAAUAAAAGUGACAUGUCCUUUUUUUUGGUACCGAAAAGAUAACUUAAAACAAGUUAAACACAAAGCAAUGACUGGUUACUAUGUGUUUGAAAUUGUCUUGAUUUCAUUUUCCCCAUUUUUAUCAUUGUUUUGACUGGUAAUUCUCAGUACAAAGAGUGCUUUUGUAAAAAACACAAAUGCAUUUAACAAUACUUGUUGCGCCAAAAUAAUGAAAUAAAACAAAAAUAUAU
rnacentral:sRNA from 1 species